rnacentral:rRNA from 1 species
UACGGAGGGGGCUAGCGUUGUUCGGAAUUACUGGGCGUAAAGGGCGCGUAGGCGGCGCGAUAAGUUGGGCGUGAAAGGCCCGGGCUCAACCCGGGGACUGCGCUUGAUACUGUCGCGCUGUGAGUCCGGGAGAGGAUGGCGGAAUUCCCAGUGUAGAGGUGAAAUUCGUAGAUAUUGGGAAGAACACCGGUGGCGAAGGCGGCCAUCUGGACCGGCACUGACGCUGAGGCGCGAAAAGCGUGGGGAGCAAACAGG